rnacentral:rRNA from 1 species
UACGAAGGGGGCUAGCGUUGCUCGGAAUCACUGGGCGUAAAGGGUGCGUAGGCGGGUCUUUAAGUCAGGGGUGAAAUCCUGGAGCUCAACUCCAGAACUGCCUUUGAUACUGAGAGCUUGAGUCCGGGAGAGGUGAGUGGAACUGCGAGUGUAGAGGUGAAAUUCGUAGAUAUUCGCAAGAACACCAGUGGCGAAGGCGGCUCACUGGCCCGGUACUGACGCUGAGGCACGAAAGCGUGGGGAGCAAACAGG